GACGAACGCUGGCGGCGUGCUUAACACAUGCAAGUCGAGCGGAAAGGCCCUUCGGGGUACUCGAGCGGCGAACGGGUGAGUAACACGUGAGCAACCUGCCCCUGACUCUGGGAUAAGCCCGGGAAACUGGGUCUAAUACCGGAUACGACACCGAUCGGCAUCGUUUGGUGUGGAAAGUUUUUCGGUCAGGGAUGGGCUCGCGGCCUAUCAGCUUGUUGGUGGGGUAGUGGCCCACCAAGGCGACGACGGGUAGCCGGCCUGAGAGGGCGACCGGCCACACUGGGACUGAGACACGGCCCAGACUCCUACGGGAGGCAGCAGUGGGGAAUAUUGCACAAUGGGGGAAACCCUGAUGCAGCGACGCCGCGUGCGGGAUGACGGCCUUCGGGUUGUAAACCGCUUUCAGCAGGGACGAAUCUGACGGUACCUGCAGAAGAAGCGCCGGCUAACUACGUGCCAGCAGCCGCCGUAAAAC
rnacentral:rRNA from 1 species